ACGCUCGACACCUACGGGAGCAGCAGUCGGGAAUAUUGCGCAAUGGAGGAAACUCUGACGCAGUGACGCCGCGUAUAGGAAGAAGGUUUUCGGAUUGUAAACUAUUGUCGUUAGGGAAGAAAAAGGACAGUACCUAAGGAGGAAGCUCCGGCUAACUACGUGCCNGCAGCCGCGGUAAUCUGAGCGGGCUGGCAAGGC
rnacentral:rRNA from 1 species